GUCAAAUGAAGAUGCUGUGCAGUUGGCUUCUAUAAUUACUAGCAAUACUUUAUGAUAUGAGGAUCACUCUUUCUUAUUUGGCAAGCUAGAAGACAUCUACUUAUCCUCACCAACAAAACAGUAGCCCAAUUUUGGUUUAAAAGGCAUAGAAAGAAAAAGGAAAACCACGUCCAAAGUUUCAUCAGCUGAAGAGCAGUGAUGAGAUGAACAGAGAAGAGACUGAAAGCUUGAAGGCUUUACUACAUGCAGAGAGAACUACAAGGAAGACUUUACUCCAGACACAUGCAAAACUGCUCCAAACAGCUCAGGAACUGCCUCAACUUACUCUGUCCACCUCUAAGCCCAGAACUUGAGCAAAAGCAGAGAAGAGAUGGAUCAGCUUUAUUAUAUCUAUCAAGGGAAGGACUCAUUUACCUAACUUCAGACAUCGAAAAUGAAGAUGUGCCAUGGAAGCACCCAUAUAGGGUGACUCAUUGCUCAGUGGAGAUUGAUGAUCCACCUCAGCCUGAAGUAGUUUCUGUGGGUUAAAUUGCCCUCCAGAAGUGUGGGUACCUACUGAAGCAGCCCACAGAACAAGCUUAUACCCAGCAUGUCACCUUUAUCUGAGGGUAAAGACCCUGCCCGUUUACCCUGAAUGAAAAAGCUGCUUUUGGGUUAUGGUGCACACAAAGGUGUUUCUCUUUCACCUUAACCUCACCAGCCAUUUGCCAUCUGCAUCGCUAGGGUUUAAACCUUGGUCCAUCUUCAUGUCAUUGUUUGGGUGGAUUGUUGCAUCCUGUGAUGCUCUGCCCUUUACCCUUCUCCUCAGCCACCAGAGAAAAGAUAAAUAUGCACUGCAAUUGUCAGGCUUUUCUUUAUAGGCCAAAAAAUAUUCUAAAUAUAAAACACUCUAUA